rnacentral:pre_miRNA from 1 species
UGAAUACUCCCUCCGUCCGAAAUUAUUUGUCGCACAAAUGGAUAAAAAUAGAUGUAUUUAGAACUAAAAUAUGUCUAGAUACAUUUAUUUCUCCGACAAAUAUUUCCGGGCGGAGGGAGUAAUAA